GAUGAACGCUAGCGGCAGGCUUAAUACAUGCAAGUCGUGGGGCAGCAUGAAUGUAGCAAUACAUUUGAUGGCGACCGGCAAACGGGUGCGGAACACGUACACAACCUUCCUAUAAGUGGGGAAUAGCCCAGAGAAAUUUGGAUUAAUACCCCGUAACAUAACGAUGUGGCAUCACAUUGUUAUUAUAGCUUCGGCGCUUAUUGAUGGGUGUGCGGCUGAUUAGAUAGUUGGCGGGGUAACGGCCCACCAAGUCUACGAUCAGUAGCUGAUGUGAGAGCAUGAUCAGCCACACGGGCACUGAGACACGGGCCAGACUCCUACGGGAGGCAGCAGUAGGGAAUAUUGGGCAAUGGACGCAAGUCUGACCCAGCCAUGCCGCGUGCAGGAUGAAGGCGUUAUGCGUUGUAAACUGCUUUUAUACAGGAAGAAACGACUCUUGCGAGAGGCAUUGACGGUACUGUAUGAAUAAGCACCGGCUAACUCCGUGCCAGCCGCCGCCGUAACAC
rnacentral:rRNA from 1 species